UCGAUUUCUGGCUUUUGAUUGUGGAUUAGUUAACCUUACGAUCUCUGCACUUUUUAUGCAUUGUCGAAAUUGAAGAGGUUUGGUUGUUUCGGCGGUGCAGAAUGGAGAAUGGAUUUUGUAUCUAAAUACCAGGAUGUCUUUCCUUCGGAAGGUGAAUUGCUUUUCUGGCUCCAUAAAUCGUUUUACCCCGAGUUACUGCGCCACGCCCUUGAAUUUUCAGAAUUUUGAGUUGUAAUUGUGAUAGCGGGUGGUAGGUAUCUGACGGGUAGCGGGUUGGUGGAUAUCCGACGGGUGGCGGGUAUUCGCAUGUCGCGGGUAUGGGUGGCAAAUAGUAGUGUAUAAGAAGUUAAAAUUUUCUCUAAAAUUUGCUGCUGUUUUGUGGUGAUUAGUGGUUGAUUGCAAGAUGUCGACGUCCAAAAGCAGCAGCGCCCUUACCUCUUAAGCCACGGCGGGUAUCCAACGGGUAGUGGGUGGUGGGUAUCCGACGGGUAGCAGGUGGCGGAUACUCGACGGGUGGCGGGUAUCUGCGGGUCGCAGGUAUAAAUGGCAAAUAGUAGUGACUGGCAAAUAAUUUUUUCGAAUAUACAUUUCGCCAAGUCAUGUUAAUGUUGAAAGUCAUCUUUAAUUUAUUUUUUCAUUUUAGUUUGAUGUGUAACGCAGACCUAUAUCAUAUUAACAGUUUUUUUAGUGAAUAAUAUCCAUAAUUUAUAAAUAUAUUAA